rnacentral:rRNA from 1 species
UGUGGUAAUUCUAGAGCUAAUACAUGCGUCAAAGCCGCGACUUUUGGGAAGCGGUGUAUUUAUUAGAUAAAAAACCAACGCGGUCCGCCGCUCCUUUGGUGAUUCAUAAUAACUUGUCGAAUCGCACGGCCUUGCGCCGGCGAUGCUUCAUUCAAAUAUCUGCCCUAUCAAGUUUAGAUGGUAGGAUAGAGGCCUACCAUGCUUUCAACGGGUAACGGGGAAUAAGGGUUCGAUUCCGGAGAGGGAGCCUGGAGAAACGGCUACCACAUCCAAGGAAGGCAGCAGGCGCGCAAAUUACCCAAUCCCGACACGGGGAGGUAGUGACAAUAAAUAACAAUACUGGGCUCUUUCGGGUCUAGUAAUUGGAAUGAGUACAAUUUAAAUCCCUUAACGAGGAACAAUUGGAGGGCAAGUCUGGUGCCACACCGCGGUAAUUCCAGCCUCCAAUAGCGUAUAU